rnacentral:rRNA from 1 species
AACGAACGCUAGCGGUAGGCCUAACACAUGCAAGUCGAACGGGCAUAUAGCUUGGCUUGCCAAGUUGUAUGUCAGUGGCAGACGGGUGAGUAAUACAUAGGAAUCUACCUGACAGUAAGGAAUAGUCACUAGAAAUGGUGAGUAAUACCAUAUACGCCCUGAGGGGGAAAGAUUUAUCGCUGUCAGAUGGGCCUAUGUUGGAUUAGCUAGUUGGUGAGGUAAAUGCUCACCAAGGCAACGAUCCAUAGCUGGCCUGAGAGGGUGAACAGCCACACUGGAACUGAGAUACGGUCCAGACUCCUACGGGAGGCAGCAGUGGGGAAUAUGGGCAAGUGGGCGAAAGCCUGACCCAGCCAUACCGCA